UUAACUCAAAAUUGUACGGAGUUGGAACGUUUGCCAACGUUUCUAGGGGCGCUGUUCCAACUGCACACAAAUUUGAAUUA
rfam:Bombyx mori DNA, contig: Bm_scaf100_contig35947, strain: p50T/Dazao, build 2, whole genome shotgun sequence.